rnacentral:rRNA from 1 species
CACGUAGGGUGCAAGCGUUGUCCGGAAUUAUUGGGCGUAAAGGGCUCGUAGGCGGUCCGUCACGUCGGGAGUGAAAACUCGGGGCUCAACCCCGAGCCUGCUUUCGAUACGGGCGGACUAGAGGUAGGUAGGGGAGAACGGAAUUCCUGGUGUAGCGGUGGAAUGCGCAGAUAUCAGGAGGAACACCGGUGGCGAAGGCGGAUCUCUGGGCCAUUACUGACGCUGAGGAGCGAAAGCGUGGGGAGCGAACAGG